rnacentral:rRNA from 1 species
GAUGAACGCUGGCGGCAUGCUUAACACAUACAAGUCGGACGGGAAGUGGUGUUUCCAGUGGCGGGCGGGUGAGGAACGCGGAAGAACCUGCCCUGGGGAGGGGAACAACAACUGGAAACGGUUGCUAAUACCCCGUAGGCUGAGGAGCAAAAGGAGGAAUCCGCCCGAGGGGGGGCUUGCGUCUGACUAGCUAGUUGGUGAGGUAAUAGCUUACCAAGGCGAUGAGCAGUAGCUGGUCCGAGAGGAUGAUCAGCCACACUGGGACUGAGACACGGCCCAGACUCCUGCGGGCGGCAGCAGUGGGGAAUUUUCCGCAAUGGGCGACCGCCUGACGGAGCGCUGCCGCGUGGAGGUAGGCGGCCCACGGGUCGUGAACUUCUUUUCUCGGAGAAGAAACAAUGACGGUAUCUGAGGAAUAAGCAUCGGCUAACUCUGUG